rnacentral:lncRNA from 1 species
UUCUGGAGUCUCCAAGCGCAUUUUAUUUUCAAAAUUAAACAUGCAUUUUUUUGGUCACGUAUUUAGCAUAAAAAAAUGAGCACGAAUAAAUUUCCGUAUUUUCCAUCUCUGUACGAUACCGCCACCAGAAAUGAAGAUAUCUGGACUAACCUCUUCUCAAACCGAAAUGAUAAAGAGCGGCCCGUAACCUCUGAGCAGGAACCGUGGCCCAGCAGCUUGGCGGUGAUUAAGUAUCAGCCGCUAGACUUUUACUGUCCACCGGCGGGGUCCAGUACCGCAUGGAGCGAAGUGGAUGAUGUCUGCGAACUGGCCAUCAGACUCAAGGAGAUAGAGUUGCUGAACCUUGUCGGAGCAGGCUUUGAUUCCAGGAGAUAUCUUUUCCUGAAGACCUUAAAAGACGAAAAGACGGAAGAACUUUUGGGAGGGAAAGCAGACGACACCUUAACGUGACCUGUGAACGUCCCGAACAUCCAUAGUCCGUGUAAAUGUCAGUUUAAAGGUUAAGUCUUGUGCCAGUGAUGAUAACAAAGAAAAUAUUUUGAUAAUACAAUUCAUAUCGAUUUCCUGAUGCAUGGAUACUGUAUGUCCUGUUGCCUUUUUUUGCACUUUAAU